UACGUAGGGGGCUAGCGUUGUCCGGAAUCAUUGGGCGUAAAGCGCGUGUAGGCGGUCCGGUAAGUCCGCUGUGAAAGUCGAGGGCUCAACCCUCGAAUGCCGGUGGAUACUGUCGGGCUAGAGUCCGGAAGAGGCGAGUGGAAUUCCUGGUGUAGCGGUGAAAUGCGCAGAUAUCAGGAGGAACACCAAUGGCGAAGGCAGCUCGCUGGGACGGUACUGACGCUGAGGCGCGAAAGCGUGGGGAGCAAACAGG
rnacentral:rRNA from 1 species